GACGAACCGUGCGAACGUUGUUCGGAAUUACUGGGCGUAAAGCGCGUGUAGGCGGCAACGCAAGUCGGGCGUGAAAUCCCACGGCUCAACCGUGGAAGUGCACUCGAAACUGCGUAGCUAGAGUCCUGGAGAGGAAGGUGGAAUGCUUGGUGUAGAGGUGAAAUUCGUAGAUAUCAAGCGGAACACCGGUGGCGAAGGCGGCGUUCUGGACUGCAACUGACACUGAGGCACGAAAGUGUGGGGAUCAAACAGG
rnacentral:rRNA from 1 species